GACGAACGCUGGCGGCGUGCUUAACACAUGCAAGUCGAGCGGGAUUUAGUAGACAGAAGCCUCGGCUAAAGAUUACUAAUGAGAGUGGCGAACGGGUGAGUAACGCGUGAGCAACCUGCCUAUGACAGUGGGAUAGCCUCGGGAAACCGGGAUUAAUACCGCAUAAAAUCGUAGAAACACAUGUUUUAACGGUCAAAGAUUUAUCGGUCAUAGAUGGGCUCGCGUCUGAUUAGCUAGUUGGUGAGAUAACAGCCCACCAAGGCGACGAUCAGUAGCCGGUCUGAGAGGAUGAACGGCCACAUUGGAACUGAGACACGGUCCAAACUCCUACGGGAGGCAGCAGUGGGGAAUAUUGCACAAUGGGGGAAACCCUGAUGCAGCGACGCCGCGUGAACGAAGAAGGUAUUCGUAUCGUAAAGUUCUGUCCUAUGGGAAGAUAAUGACAGUACCAUAGAAGAAAGCUCCGGCUAAAUACGUG
rnacentral:rRNA from 1 species